AUUGAACGCUGGCGGCAGGCCUAACACAUGCAAGUCGAACGAGUGGCGGACGGGUGAGUAAUGUCUGGGAAACUGCCUGAUGGAGGGGGAUAACUACUGGAAACGGUAGCUAAUACCGCAUACCAUCGGAUGUGCCCAGAUGGGAUUAGCUAGUAGGUGGGGUAAUGGCUCACCUAGGCGACGAUCCCUAGCUGGUCUGAGAGGAUGACCAGCGACACUGGAACUUGGACACGGUCCAGAGUCCUAGGGGAGGCAGCAGUGGGGAAUAUUGCACAAUGGGCGCAAGCCUGAUGCAGCCAUGCCGCGUGUGUGAAGAGGGCCUUCGGGUUGUAAGGUACUUUCAGCGGGGAGGCGUUACCCGCAGAAGAAGCACCGGCUAACUCCGUGCCAGCAGCCGCGGUAAUAC
rnacentral:rRNA from 1 species